UGCUGUUUUGGCAGCCCAUAUUCUGAAAUUAGAACAAUACAGAGAUGAUUAGCACAGUCCCUGAGUAGGGAUGACACACAAAUUCGUAAAGCAUUCCACAUCUUU
rfam:Ornithorhynchus anatinus chromosome 1, whole genome shotgun sequence.